GGGUGGUAAAGGAGAAAUGUUUAUAUAUCUGUAAGCAACGAUAAACCAUUGAUAAUAAAAAACGAUUCUGAGCUGAAUUCAGUUGAUGGUGUUGUUUUGUCAACAAUAUAUGUGCCGUAUUAAGGUAAAAUAACUACAUAGGCAUUAUUAUUUUAUUUAAUAAUAUUUAACAUUGUACUUAUUUCCCCAUUUUUUAUACGGUUUUCCCCAUUUAUUGAGAAAACUCCCGGGGAAAUUCAAAAAAUGACUUCCUUAAAGUACCUCCCUAGCCAGAUUUUCUGUUAGAAAAAGUGUUAUCAUUGUAAA